GGAGGGAGGGCGCGCAGGGGAGGGGGUGAGUCACGGCCGCGCCCCCUUUCGAGCCGGGCUGGAGGAGUUUGCUGGAGUCUCCGACUGAUUGCCCGCCCCGAGCGCGCCCCACACCUCGGCAACUCCGGGACUCCCUCUUCUUCGCCAAGCAGACGAAGAAGGGGUCUCACUCUAACUUUCCUUCCGGAGCUGGGCUACGAAGGCGGAGGUCAAGAUUCCAGAAGCCCCCCAAAUCCCCGGAAAGUGAAGCUCAAGUGCACAUGUUCCUCCACCAUGUAAAGACCCAAGGGUGAUAAAACGGGAGGAGAGUUGGAAGAGAGGUCUAGAUGGAGCAAAAAUGGGAAUUCUUAUUGAGGCAGGAGAUGCCAACAUAGUUUCAAGUGUCCACCUGGUCCAAGAAGCUCACUCCUCACCAGCAUCCCUCUGCAACCCACUGUCCAGUCCAAUCCACGUCUGAAGAGUUGACUUUGGGAAUGGUUCCUGUCCUGGGGCAGCAGAAGGUCUGGGGGCCAUGACCACCGGGGUCCUUCCAGCCUCAGUCAGACCAUUAAGUCUGGUCUUAUGAGAAUUUGGGGUCUGCAUCCCACUGCUCUCCUGCUCCCUCAGGGGUUCUCUGUUGUGUUCCCUGUCAAGGCGGUCAUCGGUUGUAGCCGGGCACCAUCUAGUCCUUCUGGUCUCAGGAUGAUGUAGUCGCUGGUUCAUGUGGCCCUUUCUGUCUCUUGGGCUUGUAAUUACCUUGUGUCCUUGGUGUUCUUCAUUCUCCUUUGAUCCAGGUGGGUUGAGACCAAUUGAUGCAUCUUAGAUGGCUGCUUGCUAGCGUUUAAGACCCCAAACACCACUCUUCAAAGUGGGAUGCAGAAUGUUUUCUUAAUAGAUUUUAUUAUGCCAGUUGACUUAGAUGUCCCCUGAAACCAUGGUCCCCAGACCCCUGCCCCUGCUACGCUGGCCUUCGAAGCGUUCAGUUUAUUCAGGAAACUUCUUUGCUUUUGGUUUAGUCCAAUUGGUGAAUGGCAAUCUUUUCAUUUCCCUUGAUGACAAAGGAUCUAACAGUGUAUCUAGCUUUGGAGAACACCAGAGUCUGUCCUGUGAGCUACACCAACACCUUGGCUGCCAGAUCGGUCUGUCUUCCACACAGAUGUUGAGGCAAAGCUUAUGGAGUUCCUGCAUAGGAUUCUGUUUUUCAUCUUGAUCCUAUGCCACGAUGGAGAACAUGAAGAUGGCACCCGGAAUUUUCUUUAAUGAUUAUAAACAGAAAUGAACUUUAACAAAAGCUUUUUCUGUAUUUCUUUGGAUAAUAUGAGUUUUCUCUUUUAGUCUAUUCAUGUGAUAAAUCACAUUUUUAGGAUUUGUUAUUGAAUCAUUCUUGCAUUUCUGAGAUAAAUUCUACUUGAUAAUUAUUUUUUAACAUACUGUUUGAGUCAGUUAACUAGUAUUUUAUUUAGGAUAUUUGUAUAUAUGCACGUAAGUGAGAUGGACUAAUAACAUCCAUUUCAUGUAUUUGCAUUAGGCAGUUUUAGAAUCAGGAUUAUUACAUUGUCAUAAAAUGAAUUUAGGUAGCUUUCACUCUUUUUCUAUUUUUUGAAAAAUUUGUACAAAACAGUAAUUAACUGUUCUUGAAUGUCAGUAGAACGUAUCUGUAAAUUCAUGCGGGUCUAAGAGUUUUGGGAAGAAAAGUCUUUGAUUAACAUUGUAAUUUCUUUAAUGCUUGUCGCUAUGUUCAAGUUUUCUAUUUUCUUUUGACCAAUUUUGGUGUUUAUAUUUUUUUCAGAAAUUUGUCUGUAUCAUCUAGAUUUAUAAAUUUAUUAAUUUAUGAUUACUAAUCAUACUCUUUUAUUAUUAAAAAAAACUCUCAAGUGUCUGUAGUAAUUUUCAUUCUGUAUUUUGUUUAUUUGUAUCUUUUUUUUUUUUUCUUUCCCCCUUGAUCAGUCUACCCAGAGUUCUCUUUCUGUUUCCUCUCAGGUUCAUUGAUUAUAUUUUUCCCUUUAUUUUUAUUUCUUCUCCAUAUAUCUAAUAGAUAGAGCUUGUUAACUAUAUUCUUCAGAUAGCCUGUAUCUCUGCUUAUUGUUUGUCUGCCUGACCCACCAGUGUCUGAGAGAGUAUGUUAAAAUUUCUAGUUCUAAUAGCUGAUGCAUUGUGGAGUUGAAUGCUUUGUUCAUUAGUUUUAGAACUUUUUUGUUUUCUUUAAAUUCAUUUAACACUUUAAAUCUCUAUGUAAAGCUUUUGUUGCAUCCUAGAAAUUUUGACAACUUUCAUUUAUUUUGAAAUAUUUCAUAUUUUUCUAUUAUUUCUUUAACUCAAAGUUUAUUUAUUAGCGUAUAUUUGUUUCCAAACAAAAAUGAGGUUUUAAAAAGCUAUCAUUUAAUUAUUAAUUUCUUAUGUUAUCACAUUACAGUCAUAGAACAUAAACCCAGUCAUAGAACAUAGGCUGUAUAAUAUUGGUUCUUAAAAUGUAUUAACUCUUCCUUUGUAACUUUAUACAUAGUCAUUUUUUAUAAAUGUUUGAUAUGUGCUAGAAAAAAGUAUAUUGUCUGUUCACUAGGUGUAGAACUCUUUCUGUUUUAUUGCACUUUAGGUGAAAGUUUAUAGUUCAAGUUAAUUUCUCAUUCAAAAAUUUAUACACAUAUUGUUUUGUAACAUUGGCUGCAAUCCCAACAAAGUGACAGCAUGCUCCCCCUUUUCACCCCGGGAUCCCUGUGUCCAUUAGUCCAGUUCUGUCCUUCCUGCCUCCUCUUCUUGCUUUUGGACAGGAGUUGUCCAUUUGGUCUCAUAUAUAUGAUUGAACUAAGAAGCACAUUCCUCAUGUGUGUUAUUUUUAUUUUAUAGGCCUGUCUAAUCUUUGUCUGAAAAGUGGGCUUUGGGAAUGGUUUCACUUCUGAGUUAGCAGUGUCGGAGGGCCAUAGCCUUGGGGGUUCCUCCAAUCUCUGUCAGACCAAUGAGUCUGGUCCUUGUUCAUGAAUUUGAAUUUCUUCUACAUUUUUCUCCAGUUCUAUCCAGGGGUCUUUGUUGUGAUCCCUGUCAGAGCAAUUGGUGGAGGUAGCCAGUCACCAUCUAGUUGGGCUCAGGCUGGUGGAGUCUCUGGUCAAUGUGGCCCUUUAGUCCUUGGGGGUAAUAUUUUCCUUGUGUCUUUGAAGUUCUUCAUUCUCCUUUGCUACAGGCAAAAUGGGAUCAAUCGUGGUAUCUUAGAUGGCCAAUCGCAAGCUUUUAAGACCCCAGACACUACUCAACCAAGUGGGAUGUAGAACAUUUUCUUUAUGAAGUAUGUUAUGGCAAUUGACCUAGAUGUCCCCUGAGAUUAUGGUUCCCCAGCCCUAGCCCCAGCUACUUGGUCCCUCAAAGUAUUUGGAUGUGUCUAGGAGACUUCUGUGCUUUUGAUUUGGUCCAGUUGUGCUGACUUCUCCUAUAUUGCGUGUCGUCUUUCCCUGGACCAAAGUUGACACUUUUCUACUAUAUAGUUAGUAAUUUUCAUUCCCCUUCCCUGUCCACUCUCAUAACCAUCAAAGAAUGUUAUUUUCUGUGUGUAAACUUUUCUUGAGUUCUUAUAAUAGUGGUCUCAUACAAUAUUUGUCCUUUUGUGACUGACUUAUUUCGCUCAGUAUAAUGCCCUCCAGAUUCAUCCAUGUUGUGAGAUGUUUUGUGGAUUCAUCACUGUUCUUUAUUGUUGUGUAGUAUUCCAUUGUGUGUAUGUACCAUUAUUUGUUUAUCCAUUUUUCUGUUGAUGGGCACCUAGGUUUUUCUAUCUUUUUGCUGUUGUGAACAAUGCUGCAAUGAACAUGGGUGUGCAUAUGUCUAUUUGUGUGACGGAUCUUAUUUCUGUAGGAGUGGGACUGCUGAAUUGUAUGGUAUUUCUACUUAUAGCUUUUUAAAGAAGCCCGGUAUCAUUUUCCAAAGUGGUUGUACCAUUUUACAUUCCCACUAGGAGUGCAUAAGUGUUCCAAUCUCCCUGUAACGUCGCCAACAUUUGUUAUUUUCUCUUUUUUGGAUUAGUGCCGGUAUUGUUGUGGUGUAAAUGUAGUACUUUUCACGCGUAGAUUAAGCUUGUUAAUUAUUCAGAUCUUCUAUAUCUCUGCUUAUUUUUUGUCUGCUUGAUUCAUUGGUUUCUAAGAGAGAUGGGUAGAUAUUUCCAGUUUCAAUGGUUGGUUUAUUUUUUCUUUCCUAAAUUUGUCAAUUGUUUUUUAAUUGUAAAACGGGAAGAAUAAUAGUACUUUCUUAUAGGGUUGUAAUGAAGGCUAUGAGUUAAUACGUGUAAAGCCCAUGUAGAGCGUGCCUGGCACAUAGAGGGCUCUCAAUAAAGUUAGCUUUGCUGUUUAUACAUGCCCUGGUGGCACAGUGGUUAAGAGCUCAGCUGCUAACCAAAAGGUCAGCAGUUUGAAGCCACCAGUUGCUCCUUGGUAACGCUAUGAGGCACUUGUAUUCUGUCCUGUAGGGUUGCUAUGAGUCAGAAUCGACUCAACAGCAGUGAAUUUUUUUUUUUUUUUUUAAUAUUGCCAAGUGCAUUUAUGAUGGUUAUAUUUUCUUAUUUAUUUUACCAUUAUAUAGCACUUUCCACUUUGUCCCAUAUUUUUUUGCCCUUAAUUUUGUCACACAUUAAAAUCCCAUUUACUUUUUGUUAUUUUUGCCUGGUAAAACUUUUUCCUUGGUUACAGAUUGAGUUCCCAGGGAAGCAGAUUCUAAGGUGGAGAUUAGAGUGCAAGUUUAUCUUUAGUGAGUACUCUUGGGAUCAAAAUUUGUAGGAGGAAGGGAAGGAAGCAAGACUGAACAGAAGAAGAAGAUGGGCUUCAGAGCAGUCACAAGGCUUCAGCUAAUCCUGAAGAAAGCUCUAAAGUAAGGUUAAUGUCCCACCCUUUGGAGACCAAGUGUCUUACCAAGGCAUCUGACAUACUUGCCACUUCUUGCUCAACCUGUUCAGUUUAUAUGAUGUUAUCAACAUAGAAGACCAAUAUUAUGACGUUCUGAGGGAUGCCCAGGUGGCCCAAGUCUCUUCAUAUUAUUUUAUGACAGAAAGUAGAAGA